AAAUAGAAGAAUUUAAUUUUGGUUCUGAUUGAACGUUAUUCAGUAGUUUGAGACAUGCGAAUCGUUAUUCUAUAAUAUUUAUUUAUAAAUAAAUGAAGGAAUAAGGUGUAAAGGUGAGUAAAGAUAAAUAAGGUACCUUAUAGACCUCAUAAAUAGAGGAUAUAAAUAUAAUUUUUUUUUAAAGUUAUAUUUAAUAAUUAGCUUAAUUAUAAAAAAAGGAAUGUUUCUACUAUAAGCAUCGAUUUAUUUUGUUUAAUGGUAGUUGGAAGGGUAAAAGCCUACCAAGCCUACGAUCAAUAGCCAAGUUUGAAAGAACAAGUGGCCACAUUGGGAAUGAGAAGCCCCAAAUUGCAUAAGCAAUCUGCAGUCAAGAAUAUUAGUCAAUGCUCGCAAGAGUGAACUAGCUAACUGAAAUCACAAAAUCACUUAAAUGUGCAAUUGUGAUAACGUAAGGGAAAAAAAAUGAUAUUACCUUACUAUUAGUGUUGUCUAAAUUACUGGUGCCAGAAGACUCGGUAACACCAGAAACGCGAACGUUAGUCGUCUUCAACAGGCGUAAAGAGUGAGUAGGCUGCUUACAAAUUUUUAAAUUAAAAAUAAGCUAUAUAAAAUUUACAGCCCGAAUGUUAAAUAAAAUAUUAAAAGAAAAGAAAUCUGUAAUUUUAUAAUAAUAUUUAAUUUAGAAAAAAUAAAAGCUAGAAUCUUAUUGAGGAUAAACCAAAUAAUACUUAAGUGUAGGGAUGAUAUCCUUAGAUACUAAGUGGAAUACUAACGGUGAAGACUUUUUAUCUACUAAAGAUUGACGCUGAGGAACGAAAGUGAGAAUAGGGAAUAGGAUUUUAAAUUGCGACCUGAAAAGCUUAUUUAAAGUAUUGCGGAGUAACUCCGUAUAAUAAUCUGUCUUAUUAUAGUUCGCCUUAAUAGACUAGCUUAGGUAAUAACUAGUUUAAAGCUUAAGGUAUAAUUAAAGAAAAUUUAAUUUGAACUGUCUACUAUGAUUAGAGAAAUCGAAUCUAUGUAAUUAAAGGUUCUAAUAACUAGGGUAAUCACGUGUCCUUGGUGAUUAUCAGACGGACAAACAGUUAUAGGAUCAAAGUAGGAAUCUAAGGAAGACUAAACGUACUUAAAUAGGAACAGGGAAACUCCUAUAAUCUGCUAUAAUUAUAGCAAGGAAAUUAGCAAUAUUUUCCCAUAGAUUAGAGGAAACAAGACACGUAAAAAGCGAAGGCUAUUAUGUAAUGUAGUAGAUAGGCUCUUAUUAAAAAAAAAAAUAAGAAAUAGCUAAUCUGAAAGGAUGCUGACUUACGUUAGGGUGAUUAUAAAGUAUUAGAAAAAAAGUGAAUGUAUUAUUAUGGACAUGGAAAAUAAAACAAUAAAUAAAAAUUGAAUCGAAUGGUUUGUAGGAUUUUGUGAUGCGGAUGCUAAUUUUCAAGUAUUUCCUAAAAAAAGAUCUUAUUUAAAAAAAGAAGGUAUUUUAAGUGAAUAUAUUAACGUUGGUUAUGGUUUUCACAUAAGUUUAAGUAUUAGAGAUAUAGAAUUAAUUAAGGACUUUCAAAUUAAAUUUAAUAAUAUAGGACAUAUUUAUACAUACCCUGAAAAAGAGGAAUGUAGAUGGGCAGUUACUAAAAAAUCGGAGUUAAUCCAUCCUUUGCUUUUGACUUUGUUCUUAUUUUUAUUCAAAAUAAGAAUAAAAAUAAAAGCAAAGGCAAAAGUUAAUAGAAACCGCUUUUUCUUUUGAAGAUGUGAUACUAAACACGAAACAUCAAAGAGAAAGACUAGCCAGAUUAAAAUAUGUGCUAUUAAAUAAAGUUAAGAGAUUUGAAACCUUAGAAGAAUUUAAUAAAUUUCUUGAAACUAGCUAUGUGUUAAAGGAAUACAGCGAUGAAUAUAUGGCCCCUCCCCCUUGCUUUAUCAAGGCAAUAGCUGUUGGUUUCACCAACAAAAGUUCUUGCUUGCGAAGCAAGCAAGGGGCCAGCUCAAGUUUAAUUAAAACAAGGUACUGCUUUUCAAAUUUGGAUUUUAGGUUUUAUAAAUGGUGAAGGUUGUUUCUAUGUUAGAGGGUUUUUAAUCUUUAGUAUAGAACAUACUGAUAGAAAAGCUCUUGAAUUAUUUAAAGAAUAUCUAGACUUAGGUCCAAAUAUUGUUGAAAGAGGAAAUAGGGGAAAUACCAGACAAAAUACUUAUUCAUUAACAAUACAAUCAAAGAAGGAUAUACUAACUAUUAUUAAUUUAUGUGAACUAUUAAAUAAAUUAGAGGGUUAUAAAUUAAAACAGUUUAAUAGUUGGUUGCUUUCUAGUUUAGUUGUUAUUUAAGUAUAGUAUUAGAGAUUACUAAACCUUAUAAAAUAUAGGAAUACAUUUUAUUGCUCCGUAGGACCUUCGCCCCCGAACUUUUGUUGGUGAAACCAACAGCUAUUGCCUUGCAAAAGCAAGGGGGAGGGUAAGAUCUAGGGCAUAACUUAUUUAAACUUUUUUUUAACUUACUUUAUAAUGGCUUGAGCCGUAUGCGAUGAAAGUCGCACGUGCGGUUCUUUGUGGAAGAACAGUUGUAAAACUCUGAUUCCACGGUUAGAUACCCAGUUACCUCUCACCGUCAACGAUGAAUGGUAGUUGUUAGUUUGAAUAAAUUGAUAACGAUGUUAACGCGAUAACCAUUCCGCCUUGAGAGUACGGUUGCAAAACUGAAACCAAAAAAAUUAGUCGGUCUCGGAGCAAACGAAGUGAAGCAUGUUAUUUAAUACGAAAGUACGCGUAAAAUCUUACCAGUUCUUGCAUAUCCAAUCUCUCAAUAUUUUACUUUAUUUAAACUUUUUAUUUUUUUUUAAAAUAUUUAUUGAUUUAAAUUAUUGACUAGAUUGUGUAGUUUCUAAUAAUUAAAAAGGGAAAAAAAAAAAUAAAUAUAUUUACUUUUUUAAUUUAUUUUUAUUUUAUUUUUAUUUUUUUUAACUUAUGCGAGCAUAAGCAAAGGGUAAAAAUAAAAUAAAAAUAGAAAUUCGUUUACAGGUGUUGCAUGGCUGUCGUCAGUCCGUAUUGUGAAAAGUGAGGUUAACUCCACUAACGGACGAAAUCCCUGUUGUUAAUUUAUACUUAACUAUUAAUGAUUAUUAAAUAUUUUCAUUUGGGGCUAAGACAAGUCGUUAUGGCCCUCAUGAACUGGGCUAUAGACGUGCCACAAUAACUUUUACAAAAUGACGCAAAACUUCAACUAAUUUUUAAAAUUUUUAUUUUAGUUGCCUUUUACUUGUAUUGUAAAAAGCAAAAUUUUUUAAUUUUAUAAAAUAGUUCUAAGGUCUAGCUAAUCACUAAAAAAAGUUUUAUUAAUUUUCACGAAUUAUUGCCUGUAACUCGGCAAUAUGAAGAAGGAAUUUCGAGUAAUCGUUGUUUAGUACGCAACGGUGAAGUCUGAAUCCGUGAUGAACUAACUGUCUGUCGCUGGGGAGGAAUUCGGAUUGGGGGAAAUCGCCGCGAAACUUAUCUAAAACAAAAAAUACACUUAAAUUAAAUAAUAAGUUUAAUUUUUAAUUAUAUUUUAUUAUAUUAAAUUAAGUGUAGUUAUUCUUAUUAUUCUAUAAUUUAGAGUAGCUCAUAUUUUUGCUUACUUACCCACUUUGUUUUUAUUUGUACUUUUUAAAUAACCUUAUGGCCGAUUGUUUGUAUUCUUAAUUUGAAUACCAAUAUGAACCAAAAAGGCAGAGGCUACGAAGGAGUACUAGUUUAAGCCAAAGCUAAAUAAAGUAAGAUCUAAAAAGGUAGCAAUAACUAUUUUUGUUAAGAAUUUGUAGUUUCGAUCAACCCUUCUGAGUAACAUCUCAAAAGUCAUAGCAAGGUAGCUGUACUGGAAAGUGCUGCUGGAAAAUAAA
rnacentral:rRNA from 1 species